GUCCGUCGGAUUUCAUCCGAUAAAUCACUUACUCAGGAUCAAGAAGCAUUGCUUACACGAAGGUGAGUGGCAUAGAAAUUACAACAUUCCCAUCACAUUAACAUAGUUCAACAAUUUAUUACAUCAGAGUUUACGAAAUUCAAGCAGAGUUUGCAAGGUUGUAAACAAUGAAGAAGUAAAUCAAGCGAAAGCUACACGACGAUACAUAAUACUAUGGCAAAGCCGACCAUGACAUCCAUUUCAACGAUCCACGCUGUCUGAGGCUGCUUUCCACUCGACCGACCAACCCGGAGGGAGUUGGGUCGGCCAAGUCAAACUGGCAACCAUUUCCUCGAACUCAGCACUACCUGAAAACAUAGCCACAAGCAAGGCUGAGCAACUAGUACUCAGCAAAACUGACCCGACAGGUGAUAACUACGUCACCGACUUGUUGUGGGUUUAUUUUUGCCAUGCCUAAAGUUGAUCCUUACUUUCAAUAUUUUAGCUCAAGUUCUAAGUUUAUUAACCAGUCUAGAUUAGCAACUUAUACUAAGCAAGCAUAGUUUCCAAACAAUUAAAGGACAAGCAUCAAGAUUAAUAUCAUCAUCAUGUUCCAUCUUUACUCAGUGCGGAAUAGCGAUUAAGCAGUCCCAAACUGUGAGAGGCAGACGAAUCAAUUUGAAUUUAUUAACCAUGCAUGGCGAACCUAAUCCCACGAUAUCUGCGCACCACGAAGGGUCGCUUCACUUGUCAGCCAUCCCCAUCGAUCCCCAGGCACGUGUCAGGGCCAAACUUCCCUUGGCAUGCAAUGCUCCAUAGUCCCAGCCUCUUUGCUGUACUGUGACUGCACUUGCACCCACAUGAUGCACCAUGGGAACAUCGUUCCAAGGACAGCAGAACUAUAAGCCACGCCCCAGUUCAAUCAGGUACUAGGCUUCCCUAUCCCAUACUAGGUAUGAGAUUAGUACUUUCAAACACUUGAUCAUGAACAUCGGCAUGUUUGGACCUUAGCAAGUUCAUUACUAGACAGAUGGGGCAAACCACUGUAUUGGAACCAUUCCCAGUCCCGUCCAUCACCCUUAAAGUGGUAGUUUGAGUAAACAUCAAUUCCUAUAACUCGCGAGUGACAGGCAAUCACUCGACUUUUACCGAGUCCUAUUUAGCACAGCAACUACUCGACUUUCACAACUAGUGUUUAGAUCAAAGGUACUAAGUUCAUGCAUCUAAGGUUUCAAUCAAAUCCUACAAACAUAAAUGCACAAUCAUAAGCACCAACAUAUUGCAUAAUUUAGAACAGGGAAGCAUGCACCGGGGCUUGCCUUUAGGUUCAGAAAAAGUUAGUGGGUCUUCGGGGUCUUGAUCUAGCUCGGGCUCAACUUUCGUAUGAUGUAGCUCUGCGGCGGAUUCCUCUUCCAGUGUAAGGUGGAGCUCGUAGGUUCUGUCGGCGAUAUUAGCUUCUACACGACAUGCAUAUGCAGAAAGUUCAAAUUUUUCAUGCUUUCGUAUGAAGGAUGUAAGAAAUGACUUAUUGCUGAAAUGAAAGUUACAUUUCGACCACAUUCACCUAAAAAAGUCCUAAACUUUCAUUAUCUUCACGAAAUAAGGUGUGUUGUGGUUUAAAACUCAGGGUUGACUUUAAUGGUGAUUGUGUACAUAUAUAAGAUUUCACAACUUAGACUUCACAAGGAAGGUGGGGGUCACUUUUAGGACUAUUCGGGGUUUAUUUGGAAAUUCAUUUAUUUCUGAAUGUUUUUAUGUACCUCUUCCAAAAUUACCAAUUAAGUUUACUAGGACUUAACAUUUCUUUAUUCAUUUAAGCCGAUUCCUCAUCCAAAAUUUGUUUUCACAACUAGAUAGUAACAUAUGACACUGAGAAAUUUACAACACCUUACUUAUGUCAUCAAUGAGUUACUGUAAAAAUUUGGGAUCCAUUGGAUUAGUACAAAAAUAAUUAAAAUUACUUUAUUAACCAAGGGCACCAUGUACUUAACCAUUUUUAUCUCAAAACCUACAGUGAUUCUGAGGGUGAAACUUUAACAGUGGGUUGGAGGCAUGUUGUAGAGACUUUGGUGAAUUUUUCAUGAUUUUUAGUGAAGGACAACUAUUUCCCAUAUAUUAAAUCUAUUUAUCUUGCUCUAAAAAGCAAGGUGGGUUUCAUCAAGUUUCAGUUAAGGUUUCCUAUUUACCUUGUGAACUACACAUCAAAACUAAGCUACUCUAAGUGGUUUCAUAUUUUUCUUAGCACUGGAUUAAAACUUAUGCAAAAAGAAAGAUUUAACCUUAGAUUUAAAAGGUAAGGUUACAACCGUGAUUUAAAGUUCUAACAGUAACAUGGGUAAGAUUAUUUUUAUAUGAAACUAGACAGUUCACUCAGCCCAAUAAAAUUUAUUUGGCAUUUUUCUAAUUUUUCUACAAUUUAUGGUGUAUUUACAAAUUUUAAUCUAUUUUCUACCGAUUUAAAACAAUUAACCGAACUAGAUUUACAACCAGGCCCUCCGAAACUUUCUAAAAUCACAACCAUGCCCUAGGUUUUUAUGUCUAAGCCCCUAAUCGAGUUUUCCAAUCACAAACAUAUGCCUGGGCGGCGCUUGGAGGCCGAUUCCGGCGAUACGCCGGCGGGGGCUGGGCGACGAGCGGAUGGGGAUGCGUACGGGCUCACCUUGUCUCGGUUUGAGGCAGUUGUGGGCGGCGGGGAAGUUGGAGGCGUUCCAGCGGCGGGGUUCCUCCGGGCGAGCAACCGGCGGCGGCUGGGGCUCCGGGGGAAUGCGGCGGUGUGGGAACGGGCGGCGGUGAGGAGGUUUGUCGGGCAGAGGUGGGCUCUCCGCGGAGGACCUGCUUGGUGGUGCGUGGGCGUGGAACAGAGGAGCAGGGCGGCGACAAUGGCGUGAGGGGAGAGGGGCACAGGCAGGCGUGAGCGAGGCUUUUAUAGGCGCCGAGGCGCGUGGCUGACUGGUGGGCCUGGAGGGAGCGGUGGGCCACGGGUGGAGCAGCGAUUGGCGGUGGCGCCAUUGGCGAUGGGAGCAGGAGCUCUGGGACACGAUCUCGUCGUGACUGGCUCGCAAAGAUCGCUGGCGUGCGGAGCUAUUUUGCCGGGCAAGGCAAUUGGCGCGGCUCGGAUAGCGUCUAGUCGCUGUCCUAGCGCUGGUAGGCGGGCAGAGCUCGGCCAGUCCUCGGCCAUGGCGUGUUGCCAGGGUUGCGGAGGAGCGGGCACGGGUUGGGCAACGGGGAUAGCGGCG
rnacentral:lncRNA from 1 species